CCUACGGGAGGCAGCAGUGGGGAAUCUUGCGCAAUGGGCGAAAGCCUGACGCAGCCAUGCCGCGUGAAUGAUGAAGGUCUUAGGAUUGUAAAAUUCUUUCACCGAGGACGAUAAUGACGGUACUCGGAGAAGAAGCCCCGGCUAACUUCGUGCCAGCAGCCGCGGUAAUACGAAGGGGGCUAGCGUUGCUCGGAAUUACUGGGCGUAAAGGGAGCGUAGGCGGAUAGUUUAGUCAGAGGUGAAAGCCCAGGGCUCAACCUUGGAAUUGCCUUUGAUACUGGCUAUCUUGAGUACGGAAGAGGUAUGUGGAACUCCGAGUGUAGAGGUGAAAUUCGUAGAUAUUCGGAAGAACACCAGUGGCGAAGGCGACAUACUGGUCCGUUACUGACGCUGAGGCUCGAAAGCGUGGGGAGCAAACAGGAUUAGAUACCCUGGUAGUCCACGCUGUAAACGAUGAGUGCUAGUUGUCGGCAUGCAUGCAUGUCGGUGACGCAGCUAACGCAUUAAGCACUCCGCCUGGGGAUACGGUCGCAAGNUUAAAACUUAAGGAAUUGACGGCUGAGACGNGCGAGACGACACGAGGAGAG
rnacentral:rRNA from 1 species